UACGGGGGGGGCAAGCGUUGUUCGGAAUUACUGGGCGUAAAGGGCUCGUAGGCGGCCAACUAAGUCGGAUGUGAAAUCCCCAGGCUUAACCUGGGAACUGCAUCCGAUACUGGAUGGCUUGAAUCCGGGAGAGGGAUGCAGAAUUCCAGGUGUAGCGGUGAAAUGCGUAGAUAUCAGGAGGAACACCGAUGGCGAAGGCAGAUCUCUGGGCCGUAACUGACGCUGAGGAGCGAAAGCAUGGGGAGCGAACAGG
rnacentral:rRNA from 1 species